rnacentral:rRNA from 1 species
CCUACGGGGGGCUGCAGUGAGGAAUAUUGGUCAAUGGGCGGAAGCCUGAACCAGCCAAGCCGCGUGCAGGAUGACGGCCCUACGGGUUGUAAACUGCUUUUAUACGGGAAUAACGCGCCUUACGUGUAGGGCUUUGCAUGUACCGUAUGAAUAAGGACCGGCUAAUUCCGUGCCAGCAGCCGCGGUAAUACGGAGGGUCUGGGCGUUAUCCGGAUUUAUUGGGUUUAAAGGGAGCGUAGGCCGCAUGUCAAGCGUGCUGUGAAAUGUCCGGGCUCAACCCGGGCCUUGCAGCGCGAACUGGCGUGCUUGAGUCCGCGGAAAGCAGGCGGAAUUCGUCGUGUAGCGGUGAAAGGCGUAGAUAUGACGAAGAACCCCGAUUGCGAAGGCAGCUUGCUGCAGCGGAACUGACGCUGAUGCUCGAAAGCGCGGGUAUCGAACAGGAUUAGAUACCCUUGUAGUC